CGCAAUGGGCGAAAGCCUGACGGAGCGACGCCGCGUGAUGGAUGAAGACCUUAGGGUCGUAAACAUCUUUUAUGAGGGAGAAAGUUUAUUGAUAGUACCUCAAGAAUAAGGGGUUGCUAAACUCGUGCCAGCAGCAGCGGUAAUACGAGUGCCCCGAGCGUUAUCCGGAAUCAUUGGGCGUAAAGGGUGUGUAGGUGGCUGUGUUAGUCAAUUGUUAAAGACCCGGGCUUAACCCGGGAAAGGCGAUUGAUACGGCACAACUAGAGGAUGGCAGGGAUGUGUGGGACUCAUGGAGUAGGGGUGAAAUCCGUUGAUAUCAUGGGGAACACCGAAAGCGAAGGCAGCACAUUGGGCCACUCCUGACACUGAAACACGAAAGCGU
rnacentral:rRNA from 1 species